CGCCAUGGAAAUCACGCUCACCUUCGGUGGGCACAACUUAGCCAGUCCGAAAUCGGAGAUCUUGGGGCAAAAGUCUUGGUCGAGAAGGAUGUUGUGCGGCUUGAUAUCGAAGUGAACGAUGCGAGUACUACAGCCGCCGUGCAGGUACUCCAACCCUCGAGCGACGCCGAGUGCGAUCUCGAACAGCUUCUCGCAACCGAACCGUGGUUCCUCCGUCGAUUUGUCGGAGCAGAUGAACUUCUCCAGCGAUCCAUUGGGCAUGAAAUCGUAGACGAGAGCUCUCUUUGAUCCCUCCAAGCAGAAGCCGAGGAGGCCGACGAUGUUGACGUGGGAUGUGCGGCUGAUGCUAGCGACCUCGUUGAUGAAUUCUUCUCCUCCAUGGCCUUUGGUUGCUUUCAGUACCUUCACGGCGACCAAACGGCCGUCUUGGAGGGCGCCCUUGAACACAGAACCGAAGCCACCUUGGCCAAGCUUGUCAUCGAAGGAUUUGGUCAUCCUCUUGAUUUCCGAGUACCUGUACCGCUUGGGGGCGAGGAUUCCACAUUGACGGAGAAAGGCUUCGACACCCUGCGCACUGUUCCCACAGGACCGCCUCCGACAUGGAAUACAGCAAUUUUGACGGUCAAAAGCUCCAACAUCUGGCGACUUUCUAAAACGUAGGGCGUAGAUCACACGAAGGAAUAAGCACAGCAAGGAUAUGCCUCCAAUGACACUCCCUAUAUAAAAUAAAAGGAGAAACAAAAUAAUAAUAAUAAUAAAUCACACGAAGAAAAAUAUAGUUGUAUGCUUAAAGUUUGUUUCUUUUCUAAAUGAUGAAAAUAAUCAGGUAAGUGAAAUAGAAAAAAAUGAAAAGAACUGAUAAUUAUUUUACCUAUUGUGAUCCCCGUUAUCUUUUUAAUCUUCGGAUGAACUGCAAUAGCAACUGCAGCUUGGGAAGAAGACAGUUUUCUUGAGAAUUAAAACCUUGAUCGAGCAAGAUGUAAAUAACAGUGUAAAGAAAUAAUCACACACAAGUUCUCUUAAAUAAGACUUGAACACAUGUUGUUUCAUAUACUAAAUAUAUUAUUAUUUUUUAAUGUUUGUGUUUGUCGGAUUUAUACUGUCUAUCUAUCUCGAAUCUGAAAGCUCAAAGUUUGAGCUUCAAAAUGUCAUCAUAAUGUCUUUUGAGCUUCAAAAUGUCAUCAAACCUAAUCUGAUUUCCCAAUUCCGAAGCUGAAUUAAAGACAUGAAACGUCAUGUAAUACUAGAAUUAUACCCAAGCAGAGGUUUCCGAACGCGCACCUUUAUUAGAAGGAGAACAUGUUCCAACGGUUGAAUUAUGUGGGCAGAAGCAGGUGUGGCUCUCCUGAGAGAGCACGUCGAAGCCGCAGCGCCCACCUGACUCGACGCAGUCACGACACCACCCCUCCCCUGCCUCCCAACGCAGCGAGAACCCCCCCUUCACUGCGUCGCUAAAGCUCCGCUUCCCGUACCCGAUCUCGACCGCCGCUGCUUGGUGUAUGGGCACCACUACCAUCGAGCUGCAGUUUUCAAACAUCUCUAUGUGGUUCUCAUCGGUAAGCUGGUAAAACCCGUGUCGACCCCCCGUCGCACAACCCAUGUCAUGCACGUCGGGAAUCGGAGGUGAGAGGGCAGUGCAGUUGACGAACACCGUGACGUUCACGUCCCGGUCGCUGUAGCUGUACAGCGAGAUGUCGAGGCUGGUGUUUUGGUACGGCUGAGGGCACGACUGGUUGACGAAGGGUGGAUCGACGACGGUGAUGAGGCGGUUCAAGUAAUCUAUAUCCUUGACGACGUAUCCCUUGCCGUCGAUCUCGAUCGUCAUGGAAGUAUUGUUCUUGCUGCAAGCGACAUAGUAUCCCGGGUAGCCACAGUAGUCGGCACGGCUGUCGACGCGAAAAGGGUAGCUGAUGUUGAUCUUAGUGCCUCCGCAAGAGUAUGUGUAGGGAGCACAAUCCGCAUACCGAUAGUAGCUCUCCGAGGAAGAAGGUGGAGUCGACGACAGGGCGAGGAGUAAAAGGAUAGAUGGAAGAGGAGACCUUAAGGAUGGAUGCAUUUGGCUCUUGCCACAGAGCUCGGAGGAAGCAGAGGAGGUGGAGGCAUGGAGUUGAGAGUGUCUUUGGGUCUUUAGAAGUUGGGAGGAAAUUGAUGAGGUUCGGAUUUAUUUGUCUGUUGCAUGACGAUGAGAUCAAAUAGCUUGCUUGUAUACAUACAUCGUGGACUAAGUCUUCGAAUACGGUAGUCGAUGAUUCAUGACACUACCUACAUAUGCUUGUGGGGUGUUGAGAUUAGAUACUAAUAUUUAGUUUGGCCAAAGUCAAAGGUCGCGUUUUGGAAGAGUCGUUCCGGAGCCAUUUUUUCCUACGCAUAAAUGGCCUUCUCUUUCAGUCUACCGGAGAAAAUGGAUUCCUCUGCUUUUUCCAUGAGAUUGACUACAUUCAACCACGUAUCACAUCCAAGUAAGUGUUGGGAGGGAGAGAAACUUUGGGAAAAAGAAAACAAAUUGACAAUGACAAACAAUAAAAAAUAUAUAAAAAAACUGAUGUAAAAUUAGUGUGAAUGAUUUGUCCAAUUAGACUAUCUUCAAUUAGCUGAGCUACUGCAUGCCGGCAGAAACCCAGCAAGGAAACACUGAAAUUGAUCGAGCAGUGGCAGUAGAAAAGAGCGAGUAAAUACGAAGAUAUACUGACUGACAUACUUGCACAAUGGGAAUGGAAUGUCUUUACUCCAUUCGAGCAGAAGCAGGCGAAAUCCCAGGUGGAGUUGAUCGUCCGGUUGAGCCCACACCGCCCGCCGGAGCGCUCGCAGCUGCCGCAGUCGCCGGAGGUCACGUUUGGCCAGCUCAAAUUGAAUCCACUCUGCAAAACCCCUCCGUAUCGGGUAGGUAAGUCGUCUGCAAUAUAAGCCAUCAGCACGUCCUGCAGGACGGGCACGACGACGACGGCGCAGCACGUCCGAGGAAGACGGUGAUAAGACUCCCUCAUCGUUUCGGUCGUGAAGACAUAGGACCGGUUUCCACCAGCAGAGCCGAGGCAGGGGAUGUGGAGAUCCGGUGGGCCGUCGGUGCAGUCGAAGAAGAAGGUGAGGUUGGCGUCGGAGGGAGCGUAGCGCAGAACUGAGUCGGGAUCGAAGGUGAGGUUGUGAAGCACUCGAGGGCACCCUUCACGGACGGAGACGAUGUCGGUGUCGACGAGGGAGAUGGUAUGGGUUUUGUAGUCGAUGUUGGUGACUGUGUAGUUGCCGGCGGAAAGGUGGAUGAUCGGGGUGUUGUUCCGGCAAAUCAGCUCGAAGCCUCGGUAACCGCAGUGGGAGCGGAGGGAAGUGGAGUCGUCAUGGACGAGCCAGAAUGGGUAGGUGAUGUUGGUGAUGUUGCCACAGCUUGAUAUGGCUUCGCCGCAGGCAACGUUGGAAGGAUGGCUGAUGGCGGGAACGGAGAAAAGGAGGAGAAGAAAGAAAAAGGCGGAGAUGGGAGGAGGAGGUGUGGGGAAUUUGGAGUUCAUAUUUGGGUUGGGGAAGGACGGAAGGGGGCGGUAGUGGUAAGAAGACCUUACCACUGUUGGGUUUUGCAUGACUUGCUUUCGAGUGCUCUGAGUAGAUGGAACGAAGAAUGGAUCUUUCUUUGCUUAAUUUUCUCGUUCCUUGGAUUUUAUCUUGAGAGCGUCUUGCUUGAAUGGAGAUAGGGACGGUGAGAUGCUGAGGCUUUGCCGUGCAGUAGAAGACGAUGGUGAUGGGAGAAAGACUUCAUGCCUGAGCUCUUUCUUGGAUCCAUUCAAGGUGUAAGAACAGCCCUCGGAUCAUCAGCAUCAUUUCUACUGUGGAGUUAUUUAAAUAUGUUCAUGAAUUUUAAAAAUAAAAAAAUUUAAAAAUGUCUUAAAAAUAUGGCUCUCCUAAAUCUUAAAUAAUGUAGAAAUAUGAAACCAUAUCGAAAUAUCAUGUAUCCUCUAUCGAAUGACAUAUCCAUAUGAAACUACAUAGUCACCAACAUCGACUACAAAACUCAUACUAACAUCGACAUUGAAAUUGUCUUCGUUCAUGAAGAGUACAUUUGAGUAUAUCACAAUCUUAUUUGUUUGUGAAGAUUAUAAAAUAUUUUUAUAUUUGAUGAUAUUUUGUAUGAAUCUUAUAUUAAAAAAUUUAUUUUUAUCACUUAAAUAAAAUAAUAUUUUUAUUGAGUUUUUUUUAAAACUUAUUUCUUAUGAAAGAUUUGAGCAUGAGAGCAUCGUUGGUCAGAAACCAAAAUAAAAAUACCAUCAACAAGUGAUUGUUAGUUUACAAAAUGCUUAGUCAAUUGCUUUUGCUUCAAUUGUUAUUCUAAUCGAUAUGUGACAUAUUGAUUUGGUCACCCAUCAUCCUUUAUUUAAUAAUAGUUAUUUUUUUAUUACUCUAUUUUAAAUUAUAAAUAAAAUAGAAUUAUAAUUCAUUAUAAUACUUGUCUUAGUAAUUGAAGUCACAAAUUAUCUUUUGAAAUAUCUUUCAUAUUCAAUUUCAAACCACUUAAAAUCAUUCAUAUUCAUGUUUGGGCCAUAUUCCAACCCUAACUAAAUGACACUAUCGAAUUAAAGUACCGAUACAUAGUUGAGAUUCAGUCUCACACUCCUACACUAAAUCUUUAUGUUACUAAUCUUUUGGUUAGUAGCUUUUCAAAUUAUAGUUUAUCUUAUUAAUCAUAUACUCACCUUAAUUCUAUAAUAUCAGUCAUUAUUUUAAUAACUAUAUUAUAAAACCUCGAACUUUAAAAAAAUUUAAAGUAUUUGGUUGUUUAUAUUAUCCAUAGUAAUACAUCUAUACUUCACAUAGGUUAAUACCGAGAUCUAAGCUUUACAUAUUUAUUAGGUAUUCUCUUGAACAUAAUGUUUUUUGGUAUAUGAUCAUUAAAUUCAAAACUCUUUAUAUCACUUCAUAUUAUUUUUUUUGAGUCUACCUUUCCCUUCCAAAUUCAAAAGUCAAUGCAAGCCACUAUAAUAAUCAUCCAUCACUAGGUUUAUAUUAUAUUAGUAAAUCUCAAACCCUCUCAAAAGCACUUUUUAUCACAUCAACUAGUAAUUCUCUUCUAGACUCUGUACUCCUUUAUUACUCUAGUUUAAAAAUACCUCACCACAUCAAUAAUUCAAAUAACCGAUGAAAUAACGCCCUAGGCACCACAAAUGAUAUCCUUGUCAUCUCUUCCGCCAAGUGACAUCAAAUUGCAUCAAACUGAUCAAAUACAUGUCACUAACUCUUCACCAAUUCUUAUACCUUCAAUACAACUUAAUAAUUCUACCGAGCUUGGACAUCAUAUAAUAACAUGCUCCAAAAAUAAUAUCUUUAAACUACGUCAAAUUCUUGAUUUUUAUGCAACUACAAGCUCUUCACCUGUGCCUACUAAACCUACAAUCUGUUGAAAAGAAUAAAAGAUAAAAAGAAUUAUUGAAGAAGCUUUAUUGAAGAAAUGAAGAAGCUUGAAUACAUUAACAUGUGAGGGAGGAUUUUCCUCAACAUAAUAAAGGAUUUCCCUCAACAGAGUAGAAAGAUUUCCUCAUAUAGUUGAGGAAAUCUUAUCUGUUAUCACAAUCGUCUCCUAAGCCCAAAAAUAUUUACACUAGUGUAUAGUCAUGAGUGAUAAAUAUGAUGCCCUGCUUUAUAAUACCAUGUGGACCCUUAUACCAUUUCACCUUACAUAAAAUAUCAUCGGAUAUAAGUGAAUCUUUUGAAUUAAGUAAAACUCAAAUUAAUCCAUUGUUACAUACAAAGCACGUUUGGUAGCCAAGUGGUUUCACCGGUAACUAAGUGUUUAUUUCACAAAGACAUUUGGUUUAGUUGUUAAAUCAAUGAUAAUUUGACUCAUCCUGACUAUCACUUAAGGCUAGCAUAUACAUUAAUUAGAUAUUAACAAUACUUUCUUAUAGGGCAUCAUAACUGAAAAUAUAUUUUAUGCAUUAACCCCUUGACUUCAUCCACCCUUAGUAUCUAAACCAUAUUUGUAAGCUACGAAAAACUAUUUAUGGAUUUUGUCAAGCAUUAAGAGCCUGUCAAUUAUAUCGAACUUGGCUUGAUACUUCUUUAUUUCUACAACAAUAAAAAGAAUAUACUAUAUAUCAAUUAAUCUAUGUGGAUAAUAUCAUCAUCACAAUCAAUAAAAUCAUGAAGAUUAAGUAAUUCCUUAAGCAAUUGAGAGAUUGAUUCUCCAUCAAAUACCUAGAAACCUUAAGCUACUUUUUGUGAGUGAAAGCAAUAUUCGUAUCUUUUGAACUUUUUUUAUCUCAGAAGAAGUGUUGAGUUACUUAAAUUAUAUGAUAGUAACUUUACUAUUGAUCCCAGUAUCGAUAAGUACUUGGUUCCCUGAAAUAUUUACCUCUCAUAUGUUCAGAUAUUUUAUUUUUCUCUUUUAUAAACACUUAUCACUUAAUCUCUAUAUCUUGGACAAAACUGAUUAGGCAAGUAUUACUAAUGAUAGAGCAUCUAUAUCAAUGUAAAUUAUCUUUCAUGGAGUAAAUUUGAUCAAUUGAAGUUCCAAAAAAUAAAACAUAGUUCCAAGAUCCAUAGUCCAAGCUAAAUACUAAGCCAUCACACCCACCACUAUAGAAUUCAAUUGGAUUACUAAUCUACUAUAUCAACUUAAUAUCACCUCCCAAUCCACUCUAAUAAUAUACUAUGAUAAUAUCGAUGUCAUUGACUUUCAUUGUUUUGCUCAUAUAUGAAAUAUAUUAUCAUUGACUUUCACUUUGUUAGACAUCAAAUAUAUUAUCCAUACUUUUGAUCAAUUAGCAGACUCUCUCACAAAAUCUCUCACUUACAGGAUAUUUUAGUUUCAUCGGUUAAAGAUUAACAUCUUAAACAAAAACUCAAUCCCGUGCGAGGAUAUAAAUAAAUAUGAAAUGAUAAUUUUAUAUUCGUUAUAUAUUAUAAUCCUCAAUUAAUCUAUGAUUUGAGAAUUAAUCAUAGAUUUAAGUACAUAAUUAAAUGUAUGAUUUUAGUAUAUGAUUGAAAAAAAUUUCUCUCUCAACUUAUGUAAAUAAGUAUUAUCUCGAUAAGAAAAAUAAUCUGUUUCAUAACAAAUUCUUGAUCGAUCUGUUCAAUUUGCAAGUGAGAGCACAUCAUGGCGUUCGUGGCAUUUGCAAGUCUGCAGCGCUCCCCUUCAACAUCUCCACCACCUUGCUCAUGGAAGGGCGGUUCUCAGGCAUCAUCUGUAUGCACCAUAACCCAACUAUCAUCAUCUUUCUCGCGAUCUCUCUGGUCUCUGUGGUCACACCGGCAACGCCUACAUUGCAGUAUCGAUCAAGAUCAUCAUAGAGACAGCGUGGGAAAUAGACUUCACUGGUGUACUCAUUGGUUGCACCGAUGCUUCUCCUUCCUCCAGCCAUCUCCAGCAGCAGCAUCCCGUAACUAAAGACAUCAGACUUACUGGAGACGACGCCGAACCCCCUGGAGAACACUUCUGGGGCGAUAUACCCAACCGUUCCUCUCGCAUCCGCCAUGGAAAUCACGCUCACCUUCGGAGGGCACAACUUAGCCAGUCCGAAAUCGGAGAUCUUGGGGCAAAAGUCUUGGUCGAGAAGGAUGUUGUGCGGCUUGAUGUCGAAGUGAACGAUGCGAGUACUACAGCCGCCGUGCAGGUACUCCAACCCUCGAGCGACGCCGAGUGCGAUCUCGUACAGCUUCUCGCAACCGAACCGUGGUUCCUCCGUCGAUUUGUCGGAGCAGAUGAACUUCUCCAGCGAUCCAUUGGGCAUGAAAUCGUAGACGAG
rnacentral:lncRNA from 1 species